rnacentral:rRNA from 1 species
UACAGAGGAGCCAAGCGUUGUCCGGAUUGACUGGGCGUAAAGCGCCCGCAGGCGGACGCGCGCGUGGGGUGUGAAAUCUGGCCGCUUAACGGCCAGGCGCCAUCCCAUACGGCGCGUCUGGAGUGAUGCAGAGGUCGAUGGAAUUGCCGGUGUAGUGGUGAAAUGCGUAGAGAUCGGCAGGAACACCCAGGGGGAAACCAGUCGACUGGGCAUCUACUGACGCUGAGGUGCGAGAGCGUGGGGAGCGAACCGG